UUCAAGUUGGAUGUUAUGAAAACAUUUCUUCCCGGAAAGAGCGGUCAGGCUCUGGAAUGGACAGCAAAGGGAGGUAGUGGAGUCAUCAUUCUGGCAAUACUCAAGAAUUAUGUUCAGAUGCUGUACAGUUCUGUGAUUCUGUACCAGGGGAUGUGGUUUAGUGGGGAAAUAUUGGUAGGUGGACAGUGAAGCUGGACGAUCUUGAGGAUCUUUUCCAACCCUGAUGAUUCUAUGAUUGUAUUAUUCGGUUCUAUGAAUAUGUGUUCUCAUCCGGCUCUACCCUCACACAUCCAUACCAACCAGCACAGGAUGAAGAGCUGCAUUCUUGGAAAUUGCCAUGCACUGGCAGAAGUUGGUGCCAAAGAUGCCAGCAUAGUGCUGAAAGGGCUUCAGAAACAAAAGCCAGUGAAUUGAGGCACUAAGUGGCAUCUACUGCUACCUUCAAGAGAUGAAGGUCCACAAAUCCCUUUCCCCAGGUCAGCAUCACUGUCAUCAGUACCCAACAGCUGGUUGAGAGCUAUAUGGACCAUGAUCUGCAUAGAGUUUGGGGAAGGAGAAGAAAUACAUAUCCAUGAAAGAAUCCACCAGCUGUUCUCACUCCAAGGUGGUGGAGCCACUAUCCUGCCUUCACAUCUGCUUUUUUCUUUAAUUUCCCACAGAAUGUUGUGUUCAACAUGAUCAAGCUACCUAUAAGUGAGCAUGACUAUACUGCCCUUUUCUCUGCGAUUUGGAGGAUAACAGUGCAUUUUGCUUAUGCACUGGGCAUGGAUUUCAGGCCCCUAGCAGGAGCAGAGGUGUUUGGCCCAACAGGCCUCCCCUCUUUUGCAGGUCCCUGGUCCCUCCUCAUCACUGACUUUCAUUGUGGGACCACCCAGAUGUACUUCCGUGCUUGCUGUCUCCUCCAGGGCUUACUCCUUCCAGACACUCCAGCAAGACAGCUUAACAGAUAAUUUCUUACAGCAUGAAGAUGGGCAGAGCUAUUGCUGAAAUACAGAACUACAGAUCUUAAGACCAAAAUAGACAUCAGGGCCAUGGAGGUCAAUGAACAAGGAGAUAGGAGCCUCCACAUCUCUCUCAUGUGAAGACUGGUUGUGCAAAUUAUCCCACAGAGAGAAUUAGAGCAUAGAAUUCAUUCAUCCUGAAGACUCUUCCUUCAGGUGAAUAUCCGAGUAUCUUUUGCUAUGGUGGCUGAAAACUUUAUCUUGUUUCAAUGACUAAUUUGUUUGCAUUAUUUCUAUUCAAUCCAAGUACGUUCUUGCAAGACUGCUACGCAGGGGCUGCCAACCUAACUGCACCUCUUGGAGCUCUUACACAGUGUAAGAUUCUGCACAGACCAAGGAAAAUGUAUCAACUCCCUUCCUGUCUGAUACUGAAGUCCUGGAAAGAGCCCUAGGACUCCCACAGCAUGAACAAACUUCUAACUUGUCUUCCCUUCUGGAUUUCCAGGGGAUCUACUGAAAACCUCUUGAGUAGUUGGACUUUGGUAGGCUCCUUCAAGAUGGAUGUUGGGACAGUUUAUCCCCAGCCAGGUGCAUAACAACAGUUUGCAGACCUGUCUCACUACACCAGUGAGAAAUUACCGAAUCUCACAAAAUUUUAGGGAAUUAAAGGGACUUCUGGAGAUAAUCAAGUCCAACUCCCUACUAAAGCAGAUACUCUUCAGUAGGUUGCACAAGGAAAGCAACCUGUCAGAUCUUGAAUAUCACCAUAAAAGGAGAUUCCAGAGCCUCUCUGGGCAGCCAGUUCCAAUGCUCUGCCACUCUCACAGGAGCUCUAGUGACUGUCCUGAAGUAAUAGAUUUGACUGAAUAAACAUCGUGCAGCCACAUCAGAACCAAACAAA